UAUCCUCUCUUUUGUCCCCUCCCUCCCUCCCUCCACCCUCCCUCACCCUCUCCACGUUUUAUUCCCCUCCCUCCGCCUUACAACUCUCGACAUACUACAGCCUUCUUUUUCAGCCCGUACACCAAAACGCCUCGUCUCUCCUCCUUCUUCUCCUCGGGACGGGAUGCUCUCAUAUUCUCAUGCUCUCAUAUUCUCGUGCUCUCAUAUUCUCGUGCUCUCAUAUUCUCAUGCUCUCAUAUUGUCAUGCUCUCAUAUUGUCAUGCUCUCAUUAUUGUCAUGCUCUCAUAUUCUCGUGCUCUCAUAUUCUCAUGCUCUCAUAUUGUCAUGCUCUCAUUGUCAUGCUCUCAUAUUCUCGUGCUCUCAUGCUCUUCGGCUCUCAUAUUGUCAUGCUCUCAUAUUCUCGUGCUCUCCUGAUCUCAUGGUCUCAUAUUCUUGUGCUCUCAUUACAUUACAGGUCAUUUAGCUGACGCUUUUAUCCAAAGCGACUUACAUUUUUGCAAUUAGGGGUUAGGUUUCUUGCUCAGGGACACUUCAACAUGGGACAUGGAGCAGUCGGGGCUCAAACCGCCAACCUCGCGGUACCUGCGCCACCCCACCCCCAUUCUCAUUUCUCUCAAUUCUCAUGUUCUGAAUAAAAUGAGACUUCUCAUUCACGGCGUUUUAUUGCAUCAUGUAUCGAAAGAAGAAAGAUGUUGCAUCAAAUUAAUUAAAUGUUGCUGAAAGUGACCCUUGACACGCAGAGUUUCCCUUGAGUCAAACCCCGGCUUUGACCUUGGUCGACCUUGGUCCUUAGACAGCAGAUGUUCACCUUGCUGCAGCUUUUUUAACCGCCGGCGUUCUGUUGCCUUCGGUCCUCGGCGCCGCGGUUCACGUCUGCCUGAAAGCCUGCGCUGCUUCCGAGGACACGGGUCUGUCCUUCCUUCUACCAGACUCACCACCGACACGCCGCCCGCGGCUAUUGCUGCUCCCCGGUCAGGGCGUGAGCCCCCCCCAGAGCUCACAGGAGAGAAACGCAGCACCUGCUGCUGUGCACCGGACGUCAUUGUUCAUGAAACAUCUCCCUCAGGCUCUCAAACAUUUUACUUUCUCACCCACGAAACCUGUUUGGAGCUUUUUUAGAAGUUAUUUAAGGCUUGUGGAGAAGCUGUCCUUAUACAGUUCAUAUUUCAUCAAAUCCAACGUCCAAACCACAGUGUUCACAGUAUUUAUGGGAUCAAAUCAGUGGCUUCUACCGCUGUGUUUUACAUAGUAACUCUAAAUGUUUUACAUAGUAACUCUAAAUGUUUUACAUAGUAACUCUAAAUGUUUCACAUAGUAACUCUAAAUGUUUCACAUAGUAACUCUAAAUGUUUCACAUAGUAACUCUAAAUGUUUCACAUAGUAAGUAACUCUAAAUGUUUCACAUAGUAACUCUAAAUGUUUUACAUAGUAACUCUAAAUGUUUCACAUAGUAACUCUAAAUGUUUCACAUAGUAACUCUAAAUGUUUUACAUAGUAACUCUAAAUGUUUCACAUAGUAACUCUAAAUGUUUCACAUAGUAACUCUAAAUGUUUUACAUAGUAACUCUAAAUGUUUCACAUAGUAACUCUAAAUGUUUCACAUAGUAACUCUAAAUGUUUUCAUAGUAACUCUAAAUGUUUUACAUUGUAACACUUAAUGUAUCUUAUUAUGUCAUUUUCAUUAUUAAUCUAAGAGCAUAAUGCAUAAUCUAUGGUUUUUAUACACUAUACGUGUGCACGUAUGCUGUGUGGUUCAAAUAUUUAGAAGUCAAAGAUAUGCAGCUCUAUAUAUCAGGAUAACAGGAGUGGAGGUAGAAGUAGCUUUAAGGUGUUUAAAUGUGUGGUUCUGUUAUCUAAUGCGAAGAAAAAUAACAAAUGUUUAAUGCAACACGUGCAGACUGACACGCCGCGCUCACGCCGUGCGCACGCGUUGCUGGCCGAGCCGAGGAGGAAGUGGCCCACGUCGGAGGAGAUAUGCCGGCAUAUGCUCUCUCUCUCUGUGGCCUUCCCGCCUCACCGGACAUCGUGGCAGAGAUCCGCUCAUCUGACACCAAAAUAAAAAAAGGCAUGCGCUCGCCGACGGGGCUCGAACGCGUUGCCGCACGUUUUAUUUUCCGCUCGGAGCUAUUUUCAGCAGUGCUCUUGUGACCGAGGCGGGGCCCGUCUCCGGGUAUCGACCGCCGGCCUCUCGGCUUACACCCUGACAUCCUCUGCCGGCUCUGACAUCACAGCGUGAAUCCCACCAAUCACACGUUGGUGUGAAGCACCGUGUUUGUUGUUGCCGUGUGGCCGAAGGUCUUGAUUUAGUUGUUGUGUUACCACUGAGUCCCUCAAUGGGCCCCCGGGAGCCCGACCCGUCAGGCCAUCCAGCGGCCCCGGUUGCCCUGACGGAUGAUGCUGUCAACGACCUCGACACCCAUUUCUCUCCGGCCGCCGCCGGCCAAGCGAAUAAGGAGGAAGACCAAGAUGAUCGAGAUGUACAAAAUGUGUGUAAAGUGACAAACUGUCUCAACGCCUGAAACAACUACUGCUGGAUGCAUUGUUCUCAUGUACCGGUGUUUGUCUCCAUCUUCUGGACGGGUGGAGUAAACGCGGCUUCGCUCACGUUCCGUCUCACAAUCGUCACUCAGUCAAAAACUGCUUAAAUAUCUAUAACUUUUUUUGUGAUCUAUGUUAUUUAUUAUAUUUUAUUUAUUCUUAAUAAUGAAAGCUCUUUACAUGUACAUGAACUUUACAUGUUCUUAAGAAAAAGAUGCAGCUUUUUAAACACGGUAAUAACAUUGUAAUAAAUGUAUUAUUAUCAUCUCUUAUGAACUGAAGAUACAUAAUAACUCAUAUUAAAGGCAUACAUUUAUAAAAAGAAAUGGGGAAGUUAUGUAUGCACAGAAGUGGGCAAAACAACCAUAUUAUGUAUUUGUAUAUUCAAUAAAUAUGUAUGUGUGUAUAUGAGAUAUGUACACACACGCUCUUAUGACAGAUGAGAUGAAUUAUCAUCUGAAUAUCUGAAUAAACUGAACAUAACUGUG